rnacentral:rRNA from 1 species
UCAGGCCAAAACGAGGCACGGCGUACAGCUCAGUAACACGUGGCUAACCUGCCCUUGGGACAAGAACAACCCCGGGAAACUGGGGCUAAUUCUUGAUAAGCGAAGAACUCUGGAAUGAGUCUUCACUUAAAAGGCGUUUAAGCUAUGCUUUUAGGCGUUGCCCAAGGAUGGGGCCGCGACCGAUCAGGUUGUUGGUGAGGUAGUGGCUCACCAAGCCGUUUACCGGUGCGGGCCGUGAGAGCGGGAGCCCGGAGAUGGGCACUGAGACAAGGGCCCAGGCCCUACGGGGCGCAGCAGUCGCGAAAACUUUGCAAUAAGCGAAAGCUUGACAGGGCUAUCCCGAGUGCCAUCCGCUGAGGAAGGCUUUUACCCAGUCUAGAACGCUGGGGGAAUAAGGAGAGGGCAAGUCUGGUGUCAGCCGCCGCGGUAAUACCAGCUCUUCGAGUGGUGUGGAUGUUUAUUGGGCCUAAAGCAUCCGUAGCUGGCUAGGUUAGUCCUUUGUUAAAUCCACCGAAUUAAUCGUUGGAUUGCGGGGGAUACUGCUUGGCUAGGGGACGGGAGAGGCAGACGGUAUUUUCGGGGUAGGGGUGAAAUCCUAUAAUCCCGGGAAGACCACCAGUGGCGAAGGCUGUCUGCUAGAACGCGCCCGACGGUGAGGGAUGAAAGCUGGGGGAGCGAACCGGAUUAGAUACCCGGGUAGUCCCAGCUGUAAACGAUGCAGGCUAGGUGUUUGGACGGCCACGUGCCGUUCUAGUGCCGCAGGGAAGCUGUUAAGCCUGCCGCCUGGGGAGUACGAUCGCAAGAUUGAAACUUAAAGGAAUUGGCGGGGGAGCACCACAAGGGGUGAAGCUUGCGGU